CUCGGAAUCGCUAUUCGUCAAGCAAUGGUUUAUCGUUGCUUAGUAUAAAUUAAACAACUUUAUAUAUCCUAUAUCCUCAACUUUCCACUGUCGUACAGCAGCACACCCGUCUCUAAAUCAACUUUUUUUUUUAUACAUGGAACGGUGAUACUGAUAUAGACCAUUUCAGCCAUCGUUUAUCGGAGAAACUAAAUGGCCAAAGAAGUUUUUAUUUUUGUUCUAUAUUUA